GGACCUGAACUUUAAUGGGAACUGAACCUAAGACCUUCUUACUGUGAGCAUGUGAUACCCGCUGCACCACCCUGACAUGUUUACAACAGAGACUGAAAUCCUUUAGUUCAAACAAUUGUUGU